UACGGAGGGGGCUAGCGUUGUUCGGAAUUACUGGGCGUAAAGCGCACGUAGGCGGCUUUGUAAGUUAGAGGUGAAAGCCUGGAGCUUAACUCCAGAACUGCCUUUAAGACUGCAUCGCUUGAAUCCGCGAGAGGUGAGUGGAAUUCCGAGUGUAGAGGUGAAAUUCGUAGAUAUUCGGAAGAACACCAGUGGCGAAGGCGGCUCACUGGACCGGUAUUGACGCUGAGGUGCGAAAGCGUGGGGAGCAAACAGG
rnacentral:rRNA from 1 species